rnacentral:rRNA from 1 species
AAAAACAUGUCUUUUUGAUAAUAAUUUAAAGUCUAACCUGCCCACUGAUUUUAUAUUUAAAGGCCGCAGUAUUUUGACUGUGCAAAGGUAGCAUAAUCAUUUGUCUUUUAAUUGAAGGCUGGAAUGAAUGGUUGAAUGAAGUAUAAACUGUCUCAUUUUAAUAAUUUAAGAAUUUAGCUUUUAAAUUAAAAGGUUUAAAUAAAAUUAAAAGACGAGAAGACCCUAUAGAUUUUUAUAAUAAUUAAAAUUAUAUUUUAAAGUAUAAUAUUAAUUAUAAUUAGUAUUAUUAUUUGAUUGGGGUGAUUGGAAAAUUAAAUAAACUUUUUUUAUUUUAUGACAUUGAUUUAUGAUUAAUUGAUCCAAUAUUAUUGAUUAUAAGAUUAAAUUACCUUAGGGAUAACAGCGUAAUUUUUUUGGAGAGUUCUUAUCGAUAAAAAAGAUUGCGACCUCGAUGUUGAAUUAAAGGUUAUUUUUAAAUGUAGAAGUUUAAAGUUUAGGUCUGUUCGACCUUUAAAUCUUUACAUGAUCU